rnacentral:rRNA from 1 species
AACCUACCUAUCAGAGGGGAAUAACCCGGCGAAAGUCGGACUAAUACCGCAUAAAACAGGGGCACCGCAUGGUGAUAUUUGUUAAAGAAAUUCGCUGAUAGAUGGGCAUGCGUUCCAUUAGGUAGUUGGUGAGGUAACGGCUCACCAAGCCGACGAUGGAUAGGGGAACUGAGAGGUUGGUCCCCCACACUGGUACUGAGACACGGACCAGACUCCUACGGGAGGCAGCAGUGAGGAAUAUUGGUCAAUGGGCGGGAGCCUGAACCAGCCGAGUCGCGUGAAGGAAGAAGGAUCUAUGGUUCGUAAACUUCUUUUGCAGGGGAAUAAAGUGCAGGACGUGUCCUGUUUUGUAUGUACCCUGAGAAUAAGGAUCGGCUAACUCCGUGCCAGCAGCCGC